GACGAACGCUGGCGGCGUGCUUAACACAUGCCAGUCGAACGGAAAGGCCCUGCUUUUGUGGGGUGCUCGAGUGGCGAACGGGUGAGUAACACGUGAGUAACCUGCCCUUGACUUUGGGAUAACUUCAGGAAACUGGGGCUAAUACCGGAUAGGAGCUCCUGCUGCAUGGUGGGGGUUGGAAAGUUUCGGCGGGUGGGGAUGGACUCGCGGCUUAUCAGCUUGUUGGUGGGGUAGUGGCUUACCAAGGCUGUGACGGGUAGCCGGCCUGAGAGGGUGACCGGCCACAUUGGGACUGAGAUACGGCCCAGACUCCUACGGGAGGCAGCAGUGGGGAAUAUUGCACAAUGGGCGGAAGCCGGAUGCAGCAACGCCGCGUUCGGGAUGACGGCCUUCGGGUUGUAAACCGCUUUCGCCUGUGACGAAGCGUGAGUGACGGUAAUGGGUAAAGAAGCACCGGCUAACUACGUG
rnacentral:rRNA from 1 species